UACGGAGGGUGCAAGCGUUGUUCGGAAUUACUGGGGCGUAAAGGGCGUGGCAGGCGGUUGGUAAGUCAGAUGUGAAAGCCCUGGGCUCAACCCAGGAAGUGCAUUUGAAACUGCCAUCCUUGAGUAUGGGAGAGGAGAGUGGAAUUCCCAAUGUAGAGGUGAAAUUCGUAGAUAUUGGGAGGAACACCCGUGGCGAAGGCGACUCUCUGGACCAAUACUGACGCUGAGACGCGAAAGCGUGGGGAGCAAACAGGAUUAGAUACCCCUGUA
rnacentral:rRNA from 1 species